rnacentral:tmRNA from 1 species
GGGGCCGUCAUGGUUUUGACGGAGGAGAAUCGCUUAACGGCUGCAGUGGUCCGGUAAACCUUAAUACCAAACAAAAAUAACUGACACUGAAGUCAAACCUUGGAUGAUGCCGACCAACGGCGCCGUCCGCGCUUGCGCCUAAUCUGAGCAUCCGAAAUAGGAUUCCCGCCUAGCGGGACAAGCACGCUCACCCUUCCUUCUCGUCUCGGGAGGGGAUGAGUGCCAUAUCGAGGCGAUGGCCGGCUGGCUCGGCUUAACCCAGUCGGCGAGAUUCCUUAGCCUCGUCUUGCGGCUUCGGCGACAUGGUUGCCGCAAGAUCAAAUCCCAAUGACGUCUAAACUGUAGGCGCCGCUAGGGGAACUCCUUCGGACCCGGGUUCGACUCCCGGCGACUCCACCA